UUAAUUGAAACCAAAAUAGAGGUAUAUCACUGUUAAUGAUAAGAAUGGAAAUAUCCCAGUUAAA
rnacentral:tRNA from 1 species